UGCACAGGGGCAGGAAGUAAAUCAGCAGAGCCACGGAUACGUAGUAACUGCAGGAAGAAUCAAAACAGAGAGGAAACCAUCAUGAAAGAAGAGACUGUGGGGUCAAAGGUCAACUUCUGUCCAGCAACCACUGUAUUUUUUGGUCGCCUUGGGGUGGCGAACAGGUCUACGUCAUCUUUGGAAGAAUCAACAAAAGUAAUCCAAGAUGGCGGCUUCUUUCCAAGGUCAAAGUUCAAUGAAAUUUCAGUUGUUGAGGACUUUACCUGGUGGAGGCUGUGAAGGAACUUCUAAUCCAGACAAAAACCGGACUCUGAAAGGUUCAAGAGUUCGGGUCACUUCCGCCGCUCUGGGACUCUGGGAUUCUUCCAGAACCACAGGGACCGUCUCCUCCGGAUCGUCUGAGGGUUCUGACGAUGGAAAGCUCCUUUUCAUUCCUGCAGAUUCUUCCAGCCUGAAUCUUAACAGGAACAGACGUGUUUGAAAAUAACCUCAGGGGAGAAGGGAUUAUCGCAGGAGGAAGCAGCGGGGAACAGAACCACCACCUAAUGAAGGAGGCGGCGUCCCAACGGUGUCCCUGAGGACACGAGCGGCGCCGUGCAAAUGUUUACGAGGACAGAAAAUGGAACCUCCUGUUGAAGCUCCGCCUUCUGUCCUUCUGUGGAAUGGACUCAAAUGGAGGAGAAAAUAAAAAAAAACUUUUCUUGGAGCAAUCAUCACAAAAGCUCACACCAGUGACAAAAGAAGGAAGUGAAGCCCCUCCCCCACACCAACCUGUCGAGGGCGAUGGCCGUCAUGGAGUAAAUGCUGGCGAAAAUGGCGGCGAUGGGGAAGAAGUUGUGGAAGCGGCAGUAAACGGCGCCAAAGU